AAUGUACUGUGAACCCCAAGUGUGAGAAUCAUUUUAUCUUUCUUUGGCAGGGCAGUUGUGCACCCCUGGACUCCUAUUCUAUAGGAGACAGACAGUGCUGGGUGGUGAAGCUGGGACUCAGCAAGGGCAUGGUGACCAUGGAGUCCGUGAAGCCCCUCCCACCUGCUCCUUCUCAGAACGUCAGGCUCUGGGCAGGGUUCACCUGCUACCAGAUAUCUGAAGGCAGAGAUUCCAAGCUUGUGUUGUCCUGGGCAUCCCAUGGCUGAAGACCCCAGACCUUUCCAUGAUGAAGAGGACUCAGUCUCUUCAAGACUCAGUCUCAGUCAAGAGAAACAACAUCUAAUAUUAAAAACAUGAACCUUA